rnacentral:rRNA from 1 species
AGAGUUUGAUCCUGGCUCAGAAUCAACGCUGGCGGCGUGCCUAACACAUGCAAGUCGAGCGAGAAAGGGAGCUUCGGUUCCCAAGUAAAGCGGCGGACGGGUGAGUAACACGUGGGUAAUCUGCCCUCGGGUGGGGAAUAACUCAGGGAAACCUGGGCUAAUUCCGCAUGAUAUUCCCGAUACUCAAGUAUUGGAAAUCAAAGCUGGGGACCCUUCGGGGCCUGGCGCCUGAGGAGGAGCCCGCGGCCAAUUAGCUUGUUGGUGGGGUAAUGGCCCACCAAGGCUUCGAUUGGUAGCCGGCCUGAGAGGGCGGACGGUCACACUGGGACUGAGACACGGCCCAGACUCCUACGGGAGGCAGCAGUGGGGAAUUUUUGUCAAUGGGGGAAACCCUGAACAAGCAACGCCGCGUGGAGGACGAAGACCCUCGGGUUGUAAACUCCUGUCGGAGGGGACGAAAGUGCAGGUGGUUAAUACCCAUCAGUAUUGACGGUACCCUACGAGGAAGCCCCGGCUAACUCCGUGCCAGCAGCCGCGGUAAUACGGGGGGGGCAAGCGUUGUUCGGAAUUACUGGGCGUAAAGGGCGCGUAGGCGGACCAGACAGUCUCUCGUGAAAUCCCACGGCUCAACCGUGGAACUGCGGGAGAU